rnacentral:piRNA from 1 species
UGCCUUACCCAGGAUCAUUUAUUUCUUGC